rnacentral:rRNA from 1 species
AACGAACGCUGGCGGCGCGUCUUAAGCAUGCAAGUCGAACGGCAAGAGAGAAGCUUGCUUCUCUCCUAGAGUGGCGGACUGGUGAGGAACACGUGGGUAAUCUACCCUUAAGAUGGGGAUAGCUGCUAGAAAUAGCAGGUAAUACCGAAUACACUCAGUUUUUCAUAAGAAGGAUUGAGGAAAGGAAGCUACGGCUUCGCUUGAGGAUGAGCUUGCGUCCCAUUAGCUUGUUGGUGAGGUAACGGCCCACCAAGGCGACGAUGGGUAUCCGGCCUGAGAGGGUGAUCGGACACAUUGGGACUGAGAUACGGCCCAAACUCCUACGGGAGGCAGCAGCUAAGAAUAUUCCGCAAUGGACGAAAGUCUGACGGAGCGACGCCGCGUGGAUGAAGAAGGCUGAAAAGUUGUAAAAUCCUUUUGUUGAUGAAGAAUAAGGGUGAGAGGGAAUGUUAUCUGAUGACGGUAAUCAGCGAAUAAGCCCCG